rnacentral:rRNA from 1 species
UACGUAGGGGGCUAGCGUUGUCCGGAAUCAUUGGGCGUAAAGAGCGUGUAGGCGGCCCGGUAAGUCCGCUGUGAAAGUCGGGGGCUCAACCCUCGGAUGCCGGUGGAUACUGUCGGGCUCGAGUACGGAAGAGGCGAGUGGAAUUCCGAGUGUAGAGGUGAAAUUCGUAGAUAUUCGGGAAGGAAUCACCAGUGGCGAAGGCGGCUCACUGGUCCGGUACGUGACGCUGAGGUGCGAAAGCGUGGAGG